UUGAAAACGUGUUCAUUCCGCCUGAAAAUUAAUUACUAUCUUGGACGCUCCCAAAAUCAUGAAACGAAGCUCAGUGCCGUCAACGCGAAUAUCAACAAACACAGCACAAACGAAAAACAGAAUGUGAAAAACAAGUUAGAACCAGAGAAGAAAAACAUCAAAAUGGACUCAGAAUAACAUUUUGAUAAAUCGUGGUGAGAGUGUUCUACAAGUGGCUGACGAAACGGGCCUUCCACGGUCGAUAGUUUACGGAAUCGAGAAGCAAGAAAUAGCAUUGCGGUAUUGCAAGGCGUUGGUCAACUAAACUAUCCCCUGAUUUCGAGAUAAUAAUAGGAAAUAUAAAGGUAGAGAAACCAGAUGCCGAAAUCGACACAACUAUCGUUAAGGAAGAAUAUGAUGUGAAACUUAAAAAUACGAAUGCAAUCACUCAGCCCAUGGCGCCGAAGAAAUUAACCAAGAACAUUCAUAAACUUAUCAAAAAAGCCUCAAAACACAAAUCUCAUUUACGAUAUGGAUUAAAGGAUGUUCAAGUGCGUCCGCGGAAUAAUGAAACAGGGAAAGCAAUGUGUAUAUUGUGUGUUGAAAUGGAGGUUGCAAUUUAUAAAAAAGAUUGUCAUUUUCGCUGCAGAAAAGUGGAAAUCAUGUGUCACUUGCCAUCUGUUUGUGAGAAACGCAAUAUCCCAUAUUGCUAUACGCCGAGUCGGAAGACUUGGGAGCAGCAGUG